rnacentral:lncRNA from 1 species
ACCCACAGAGACUUUCUGAUAGCUGAUGCCAGGAACAGCAAAAAGCAGAAUGUCCAGUUAGGGAUAGUUAACCAAGCCCCUCUCAAUUCUUCUUCUUGAGGCUAUCCUCUCCUCACUGGUCCCCAUUUUAUAAUCAUGCUCAAGGAGCCUAGGCUUCUCUUCUUCUCUUACAGCAUGUUUAAUAUCACUACUUUAUCCAUUCUGUACUGUUGCAGGCUGAAGGUGACAUUACACUUAGAGGGAUCCACAGAUUCAAGAGGCUGCUUGGGGAGGGCAGCACAGUGAAGUACAAGGACUUUGACAUCAGAGAGGCCUGGAUUCAAGUCCCAAUUUCUGUGUGUGAUCUCUCUCUCUGCGGAAGCCAGCCACCGCUCUCCAAGGACUCUCGAGCAGCUCCAUCUACAGAUUCACAUGGAGAAGAAUUAAGGGUUCCUGCCAAUCACCAGCACCACUUUGCCAGCCUUGUAAGUGGGCCACCUUGGAAUUGGAGCCUCCAGUUCCUACUGACAUCUGACUGCAACAUCAUGAGAGACCCUGAGUUUGAACCACCCAGCUGAGCUGCUUCUGAGCUAACCCACUGAAACCGUUCCUUAGAUCCUGGGAUGAGGAGGUGGACCAGCAGAAGGUGGGCUUGUGAAGGCAGCCCGGGGUCCAAAUCCUCCUGGCUCUUCAGCUUAGCGGGAUGUCACCUUCAGCGUCUGAAAGCUGGGUUUGAUGCGUCUGGAAAGGCGUCCCUGACAGGCGUCGUUGCCAGGAGCCCCUAGUGCCACCAGCAGCCAGCAGGGGAGGGCGUCCUCUGCCCGCUCACUUCUGACCCUUCUCUCGUUGCACCCGGAACAUGGUGCAGCUGGGAGCAGCCUGGGCUGCGCGGAAGGCUCAGAUUUGGGGACGGCCCUUGCCAGUGACUGUGAGCUGGGGUGUCUUGGAAACUCCCAGUCUCAGCUUCUCCAUUUAUAAGAUGAGAAUGAUCAUACCAGACUCAGGCAAGGUUGUUUGUGCAUUAGUGAAAUCAGACGUAUUAAAUAAAGUACCACAUUGAUCGUGGAGUUGUUGAAUAACCAAGAACAC